rnacentral:rRNA from 1 species
GAUGAACGCUGGCGGCGUGCCUAAUACAUGCAAGUCGAGCGAACGGACGAGAAGCUUGCUUCUCUGAUGUUAGCGGCGGACGGGUGAGUAACACGUGGAUAACCUACCUAUAAGACUGGGAUAACUUCGGGAAACCGGAGCUAAUACCGGAUAAUAUUUUGAACCGCAUGGUUCAAAAGUGAAAGACGGUCUUGCUGUCACUUAUAGAUGGAUCCGCGCUGCAUUAGCUAGUUGGUAAGGUAACGGCUUACCAAGGCAACGAUGCAUAGCCGACCUGAGAGGGUGAUCGGCCACACUGGAACUGAGACGCGGUCCAGACUCCUACGGGAGGCAGCAGUAGGGAAUCUUCCGCAAUGGGCGAAAGCCUGACGGAGCAACGCCGCGUGAGUGAUGAAGGUCUUCGGAUCGUAAAACUCUGUUAUUAGGGAAGAACAUAUGUGUAAGUAACUGUGCACAUCUUGACGGUACCUAAUCAGAAAGCCACGGCUAACUACGU